rnacentral:rRNA from 1 species
ACACGACUACAUUAGAUACCCGUGUAGUCCUAGCCGUAAACGAUACUCGCUAGGUGUCGGCCACGGUGCGACCGUUGUCGGUGCCGUAGGGAAGCCGUGAAGCGAGCCACCUGGGAAGUACGGCCGCAAGGCUGAAACUUAAAGGAAUUGGCGGGGGAGCACUACAACGGGUGGAGCCUGCGGUUUAAUUGGAUUCAACGCCGGAAAUCUUACCGGGACCGACAGCAACAUGAAGGCCAAGCUGAAGACUUUGCCGGAUUAGCUG